UCCGUAGUGUAGUGGUUAUCACUUUCGCCU
rnacentral:piRNA from 5 species